rnacentral:rRNA from 1 species
UACGUAGGGUGCGAGCGUUGUCCGGAAUUACUGGGCGUAAAGAGCUCGUAGGUGGUUUGUCGCGUUGUUCGUGAAAUUCCCUGGCUUAACUGGGGGCGUGCGGGCGAUACGGGCAGACUGGAGUACUGCAGGGGAGACUGGAAUUCCUGGUGUAGCGGUGGAAUGCGCAGAUAUCAGGAGGAACACCGGUGGCGAAGGCGGGUCUCUGGGCAGUAACUGACGCUGAGGAGCGAAAGCGCGGGUAGCAAACAGG